CCCUUUAAUGUUUGAUGUUCUAACGUUGGCCCGUAAUCCGGGUUGCGGACAGUGUCUGGUGGGUAGUUUGACUGGGGCGGUCUCCUCCUAAAGAGUAACGGAGGAGCACGAAGGUUGGCUAAUCCUGGUCGGACAUCAGGAGGUUAGUGCAAUGGCAUAAGCCAGCUUGACUGCGAGCGUGACGGCGCGAGCAGGUGCGAAAGCAGGUCAUAGUGAUCCGGUGGUUCUGAAUGGAAGGGCCAUCGCUCAACGGAUAAAAGGUACUCCGGGGAUAACAGGCUGAUACCGCCCAAGAGUUCAUAUCGACGGCGGUGUUUGGCACCUCGAUGUCGGCUCAUCACAUCCUGGGGCUGAAGUAGGUCCCAAGGGUAUGGCUGUUCGCCAUUUAAAGUGGUACGCGAGCUGGGUUUAGAACGUCGUGAGACAGUUCGGUCCCUAUCUGCCGUGGGCGCUGGAGAACUGAGGGGGGCUGCUCCUAGUACGAGAGGACCGGAGUGGACGCAUCACUGGUGUUCGGGUUGUCAUGCCAAUGGCACUGCCCGGUAGCUAAAUGCGGAAGAGAUAAGUGCUGAAAGCAUCUAAGCACGAAACUUGCCCCGAGAUGAGUUCUCCCUGAGACUUAGAGUCUCCUGAAGGAACGUUGAAGACGACGACGUUGAUAGGCCGGGUGUGUAAGCGCAGCGAUGCGUUGAGCUAACCGGUACUAAUGAACCGUGAGGCUUAACCUU
rnacentral:rRNA from 1 species